rnacentral:rRNA from 1 species
CAGCAGCAGCCGCGGUAAUACGAAGGGUGCAAGCGUUACUCGGAAUUACUGGGCGUAAAGCGUGCGUAGGUGGUUGUUUAAGUCUGCUGUGAAAGCCCUGGGCUCAACCUGGGAAUUGCAGUGGAUACUGGGCAACUAGAGUAAGGUAGAGGAUAGUGGAAUUUCCGGUGUAGCAGUGAAAUGCGUAGAGAUCGGAAGGAACAUCUGUGGCGAAGGCGACUAUCUGGGCCAUUACUGACACUGAGGCACGAAAGCGUGGGGAGCAAACAGGAUUAGAUACCCCAGUAGUCCCUGUCUCUUAUAC